rnacentral:rRNA from 1 species
AACGAACGCUGGCGGCAUGCCUAACACAUGCAAGUCGAACGAUGCCUUCGGGCAUAGUGGCGCACGGGUGCGUAACGCGUGGGAAUCUGCCCUUGGCUUCGGAAUAACAGUUAGAAAUGACUGCUAAUACCGGAUGAUGUCCCCCUGAGAGAUCUUGGGGACCAAAGAUUUAUCGGCCAGGGAUGAGCCCGCGUAGGAUUAGGUAGUUGGUGGGGUAAAGGCCUACCAAGCCGACGAUCCUUAGCUGGUCUGAGAGGAUGAUCAGCCACACUGGGACUGAGACACGGCCCAGACUCCUACGGGAGGCAGCAGUGGGGAAUAUUGGAAAAUGGGGGGAACCCUGAUCCAGCAAUGCCGCGUGAGUGAUGAAGGCCUUAGGGUUGUAAAGCUCUUUUAACAGGGAUGAUAAUGACAGUACCUGGAGAAUAAGCUCCGGCUAACUCCGUG